UCCAUUUAAGACCACUCCCAUACCAGGAAGGAGGGGGGAGGGACCCCUGGGGCAUACUGGGGAAUGCAGUUCCCUUGGCCACAAUAUUUUAAAACCCACACUUGAUCUAGCUUGAUCUCUUUAGGGAGUUCUUUGUAGGAACUGGGAGAGAGGGUUACAGCUGGCAGUGUGCACUGAUACUCCUAUUCAAAGUUCACAUCACUUGGACUUUGAGUGUUUUGGGACUACCAGGUAGAAGCUCAGUAGGAGAGACUGUGGGAGAUUGCCUUGGAAUGUCUUUUCUGCUUGAUUCACUGGGGAUAGUCACUAUGAAGGAGAGCAUAAGGACCCAGCAGAGAAGGGCUCCCAUUCUUCCAGUUCUUGAAUAACAACACCUGCAGCUCUUGUAGACAUGGGACUUCAAGCUGUGCACAUUGUCCAAUAAGUUUGUGGAUGGUACUGAAUUAAUCUACUAAUAUGACAUGUUCAGAAAAAUAGCAUACACCCCUGGGUUUUCAGGCCCUUGCCAAAAUUAUAUGGAAAAAAAAAAUUAAAAGUUAUCUCUUCUCAUUUAGUAUGAAUGAGCCUGAAAAAAAAAUUCAUUUUCUUUGGAAAAUAAACUAAUGUUCUUACCUACAAACUAUCAUGGCAGAUUGACUUAAUAGAAGUUCUGUUGUUAAUGAUGCUUAGCCUGUAUUCAAAUCAUUUAUCUGCCAGUUACUAUUUGUGUAAUUUUGGGUAA